AAUACGUUACUUACGUAAAUACUCUGUCAGGGCUUCACUAUUACCCUCACACCUAAGAAUAUCGGCGGUAUCCAUAAGAGCAUAGGAGUCAAGGAAAUUGACGGUAUCUUGCUCAAAAUCGCUCAAGGCUUCAAAGAUAGCACCCUUGAUAAGCCUAGGGUUAUCAGUCCAAUAGAAGGGAAAUAGAGGAUCAUCAACCUCAUCAUACAUCAAGUCAGAAAACUUCUCAUCAUUGCGAACUCGAAGAAAAGAGUCUUUGAAGUUUUUGAAAUUGGAGGCAUAUAAACUUAGAAGACGACGGUUGGGUUGGCUACUAAGAGAAACUAGAGACUGAGGUUUUAGGUUCUUUAUUUGGUAAAAAGAGAAGAAAACNNN
rnacentral:lncRNA from 1 species